rnacentral:tRNA from 1 species
AGUAGCUCAGCGGUAGAGCGCUUGCCUAGCAAGCACAAGGCCCUGGGUUCGGUCCCCAGCU